rnacentral:lncRNA from 1 species
GAUGCAGACACAGAUAACAGAUUCAGAUACAGAUACAGAAUAGCAGAUUCAGAUAGCAGAUUCAGACGGCAGAUUCAGAUAGGCACUCAAAUUUGGCAUAUGAACAGAUAGAAGAACGAGUGUGAUAAAGUACACCCUCGCCUCCAUUUUAUCAAAACAGUAUUUGGCUUCAAUAAUCAUAAAUCAAGUAUUCAGAUAUUCAGAUAUUUCACAUAAUGGGUAGCAGGUAGUGGAACACUCACCGGCUCAACUUCAAAAGUUUUCACUUCAGAUUGGCCUUAAUCGCCAAGAAACCC